UACUACUUGGAUAACCGUGGUAAUUCUAGAGCUAAUACAUGCUGAAAAUCCCGACUUCGGAAGGGAUGUGUUUAUUAGAUAAAAAACCAAUGCCCUUCGGGGCUUUUUGGUGAUUCAUGAUAACUUUACGGAUCGCAUAGCCUUGCGCUGGCGACGGUUCAUUCAAAUUUCUGCCCUAUCAACUUUCGAUGGUAAGGUAUUGGCUUACCAUGGUUUCAACGGGUAACGGGGAAUUAGGGUUCGAUUCCGGAGAGGGAGCCUGAGAAACGGCUACCACAUCCAAGGAAGGCAGCAGGCGCGCAAAUUACCCAAUCCCGACACGGGGAGGUAGUGACAAUAAAUACUGAUACAGGGCUCUUUUGGGUCUUGUAAUUGGAAUGAGUACAAUUUAAACCUCUUAACGAGGAACAAUUGGAGGGCAAGUCUGGUGCCAGCAGCCGCGGUAAUUCCAGCUCCAAUAGCGUAUAUUAAAGUUGUUGCAGUUAAAAAGCUCGUAGUUGAAACUUGGGCCUGGCUGGCGGGUCCGCCUCACCGCGUGCACUCGUCCGGCCGGGCCUUCCUUCUGAAGAACCUCAUGCCCUUCACUGGGCGUGCUGGGGAAUCAGGACUUUUACUUUGAAAAAAUUAGAGUGUUCAAAGCAGGCCUUUGCUCGAAUACGUUAGCAUGGAAUAAUAAAAUAGGGCGUGCGUUUCUAUUUUGUUGGUUUCUAGAGACGCCGCAAUGAUUAACAGGAACAGUCGGGGGCAUCAGUAUUC
rnacentral:rRNA from 1 species